GACGAACGCUGGCGGCGUGCCUAAUACAUGCAAGUCGAACGCUGAAGAGAGGAGCUUGCUCUUCUUGGAUGAGUUGCGAACGGGUGAGUAACGCGUAGGUAACCUGCCUGGUAGCGGGGGAUAACUAUUGGAAACGAUAGCUAAUACCGCAUAAAAUGGAUUAUCGCAUGAUAAUCCAUUGAAAGGUGCAAAUGCAUCACUACCAGAUGGACCUGCGUUGUAUUAGCUAGUUGGUGGGGUAACGGCUCACCAAGGCGACGAUACAUAGCCGACCUGAGAGGGUGAUCGGCCACACUGGGACUGAGACACGGCCCAGACUCCUACGGGGGGCAGCAGUAGGGAAUCUUCGGCAAUGGACGGAAGUCUGACCGAGCAACGCCGCGUGAGUGAAGAAGGUUGUCGGAUCGUAAAGCUCUGUUGUAAGAGAAGAACGAGUGUGAGAGUGGAAAGUUCACACUGUGACGGUAGCUUACCAGAAAGGGACGGCUAACUACGUG
rnacentral:rRNA from 1 species